UACGUAGGGUGCAAGCGUUGUUCGGAAUUAUUGGGCGUAAAGCGCGUGUAGGUGGCUAGUUAAGUCGAUUGUGAAAGCCCUGGGCUCAACUCAGGAAGUGCAUUCGAUACUGGCUGGCUAGAAGAUAGUAGAGGAUGGUGGAAUUCCAAGUGUAGAGGUGAAAUUCGUAGAUAUUUGGAGGAAUACCGGCGGCGAAGGCGGCCAUCUGGGCUAUUCUUGACACUGAGACGCGAAAGCGUGGGGAGCAAACAGG
rnacentral:rRNA from 1 species